UACAGGGGGGGCAAGCGUUGUUCGGAAUUACUGGGCGUAAAGGGUCUGUAGGUGGCCAACUAAGUCAGACGUGAAAUCCCUCAGCUUAACUGGGGAACUGCGUCUGAUACUGGAUGGCUCGAGUGUGGGAGAGGAAUGCGGAAUUCCAGGUGCAGCGGUGAAAUGCGUAGAUAUCUGGAGGAACACCGGUGGCGAAGGCGGCGUUCUGGACUGCAACUGGCACUGAGGAACGAAAGCCAGGGGAGCAAACGGG
rnacentral:rRNA from 1 species